rnacentral:rRNA from 1 species
UAAUACGUACUGCGCGAACGUUAUUCGGAAUCACUGGGCUUACAGGGUGCGUAGGCGGCUUUUCAGGUCUGGUGUGAAAUCCCCCGGCUCAACCGGGGAAUGGCAUUGGAAACCGAAAGGCUCGAGGUAGCUAGAGGCAUGCGGAACUUCCGGUGGAGCGGUGAAAUGUGUUGAGAUCGGAAGGAACACCAGAGGCGAAAGCGGCAUGCUGGGG